UCUCGUUGAAAGUAUCGAUACCAAAGAAAAAUCUCAGGUUGUUAUCGAUGUAUCGAACCGUAGGCCCGUAGGAUAUACUCAAUUAGUUUUGGUAACUUGACAGGCGCAUUUGUAAUAUACUUUCCGAAGAUGUCUCGAUAAUUAACCACGUGCUUUUUGUUGUGUAUUACUGAAAGAACUGUGGGAAUAUAUUUUACAAAUGGAUCUCGCGACAUUAAACAAAAUCGCUGACAGUGAUUUUCUGCCAACGAAAAAACUUUCCGAAUUCAUAACCGACCAAAACUACAUGGUGUCAAAACUAAGAAGUUUUUCUGCAGACUAGAAGUUCAGCUCUGUUCAAAAACGAAGAAUUCUAUAAUGAAUUAUUGGAUGCUGUAAAUAAGUUUAAAUUAUUCAUAGUAAACAACGGAAAACACAUCAAAUUUUCUUAUGUGAUGUAAAAAAGUAAAAAAAUAAAUUACAAUUUUCUCUAAAA